rnacentral:rRNA from 1 species
GACGAACGCUGGCGGCGUGCUUAACACAUGCAAGUCGAACGGAAAGGCCCUUCGGGGUACUCGAGUGGCGAACGGGUGCGUAACACGUGGGUGAUCUUCCCUGCACUUUGGGAUAAGCCUGGGAAACUGGGUCUAAUACCGAAUAGGACCACGCGCUUCAUGGUGUGUGGUGGAAAGCUUUGGCGGUGUGGGAUGGGCCCGCGGCCUAUCAGCUUGUUGGUGGGGUAAUGGCCUACCAAGGCGACGACGGGUAGCCGGCCUGAGAGGGUGACCGGCCACACUGGGACUGAGAUACGGCCCAGACUCCUACGGGAGGCAGCAGUGGGGAAUAUUGCACAAUGGGCGCAAGCCUGAUGCAGCGACGCCGCGUGAGGGAUGACGGCCUUCGGGUUGUAAACCUCUUUCGCCAGGGACGAAGCGUAAGUGACGGUACCUGGAGAAGAAGCACCGGCCAACUACGUG